rnacentral:misc_RNA from 1 species
UUUCCGUAGGUGAACCUGCGGAAGGAUCAUUUCCGAAACAAUCUCUUUUACCAACCCACUAUGUGAACCGUUUUGGUUAUUUCUUACUCCCAAGUUUGGGAAUUAUGGCCCAGCCAUUUUUCUCUAUUCUUGGGAGGCCUUUAUAAACUACCUUGAUACCAAGGUUGACUCAUAUGUCGUAUUGCAUUUCGUUCCUUUUCGCAGUAAAAGGACAUGAUAUCAAUGAUGUAUGACAACUUUUAACGGUGGAUCUCUUGGCUCGU